CUGCCAGACUCCUACGGGAGGCAGCAGUGGGGAAUAUUGCACAAUGGGGGAAACCCUGAUGCAGCGACGCCGCGUGAGUGAAGAAGUAAUUCGCUAUGUAAAGCUCUAUCAGCAGGGAAGAAAAUGACGGUACCUGAGUAAGAAGCCCCGGCUAACUACGUGCCAGCAGCCGCGGUAAUACGUAGGGGGCAAGCGUUAUCCGGAUUUACUGGGUGUAAAGGGAGCGUAGACGGCGAUGCAAGUCUGAAGUGAAAGGCGGGGGCCCAACCCCCGGACUGCUUUGGAAACUGUAUGGCUGGAGUGCAGGAGAGGUAAGUGGAAUUCCUGGUGUAGCGGUGAAAUGCGUAGAUAUCAGGAGGAACACCGGUGGCGAAGGCGGCCUGCUGGACGGCGACUGACGUUGAGGCUCGAAAGCGUGGGGAGCGAACAGGAUUAGAUACCCCCGUAC
rnacentral:rRNA from 1 species